rnacentral:rRNA from 1 species
AUUGAACGCUGGCGGCAUGCCUUACACAUGCAAGUCGAGCGGCAGCGCGGGGGCAACCCUGGCGGCGAGCGGCGGACGGGUGAGUAAUGCAUCGGAACGUGUCCUCUUGUGGGGAUAACCAGUCGAAAGACUGGCUAAUACCGCAUGAGCUCGUAAGAGGAAAGCAGGGGACCCGCAAGGGCCUUGCGCGAGAGGAGCGGCCGAUGCCCGAUUAGCUAGUUGCGGGGUAAAAGCCCACCAAGGCGACGAUCGGUAGCUGGUCUGAGAGGACGACCAGCCACACUGGGACUGAGACACGGCCCAGACUCCUACGGAGGCAGCAGUGGGGAAUUUUGGACAAUGGGGAAACCCGUGAUCCAGCCAUGCCGCGUGUGUGAAGAAGGCCUGGUUGU